UGAGUGAACCUCUUUGCUGUUUGUUUUCUCUUCACGACGAUAUGAAAAUCUUUGGUUAGAAAAGAAAAUAAUGCUGUCGUUGGAUGCGGCUUUAUUUUGCGCCACGUAUCGGAAGUUAGGCUUGUGAAGCCUUGGUGUUAUAGGUUAACUAGUAACGAUGAUCACAGACGUUCAGUUAGCUGUGUUCGCCAACGUUCUGGGUGUGACACUGUUUCUGCUGGUUGUUCUAUACCAUUACAUUUCUGCAAACCAUUCGAAAUCCUGACUACUGCGAUCAGGUGAUGAUUACGACAGCG